GAGACAACCUUAUGGGGCAGGACUUGCUUCAGUGGGGCUUUGGUGCUCACUGAGUCUGCCCUUUGAGUGUGUCGCU
rfam:Myotis lucifugus cont2.54974, whole genome shotgun sequence.